ACGGGGCCCGCACAAGCGGUGGAGCAUGUUGGUUUAAUUCGAAGCAACGCGAAGAACCUUUACCAGGUUCUUGACAUCCCGAUGCUAUUUCUAGAGAUAGAAGUUACUUCGGUACAUCGGUGACAGGUGGUGCAUGGUUGUCGUCAGCUCGUGUCGUGAGAUGUUGGGUUAAGUCCCGCAACGAGCGCAACCCCUAUUGUUAGUUGCCAUCAUUCAGUUGGGCACUCUAGCGAGACUGCCGGUAAUAAACCGGAGGAAGGUGGGGAUGACGUCAAAUCAUCAUGCCCCUUAUGACCUGGGCUACACACGUGCUACAAUGGUUGGUACAACGAGUUGCGAGUCGGUGACGGCGAGCUAAUCUCUUAAAGCCAAUCUCAGUUCGGAUUGUAGGCUGCAACUCGCCUACAUGAAGUCGGAAUCGCUAGUAAUCGUGUCUCAAAAUGGCACGGUGAAUAUGUCCCUGCUCCUU
rnacentral:rRNA from 1 species